CCUCUCGUGGUGUAUGGGUAACGCGCCCUUUCUUAUAAACAGGGGGUCGUGAGUUCGAUUCUCACUGAGAAGA
rfam:Aedes aegypti strain Liverpool supercont1.737 genomic scaffold, whole genome shotgun sequence.